ACAGAGGGUGCGAGCGUUGUUCGGAAUUAUUGGGCGUAAAGGGCGCGUAGGCGGUGCGGCAAGUCACCUGUGAAACCUCUGGGCUUAACUCAGAGCCUGCAGGCGAAACUGCCGUGCUGGAGUGUGGGAGAGGUGCGUGGAAUUCCCGGUGUAGCGGUGAAAUGCGUAGAUAUCUGGAGGAACACCGGUGGCGAAGGCGGCAUUCUGGACCAUAACUGACACUGAGAGACGAAAGCCAGGGGAGCAAACGGGA
rnacentral:rRNA from 1 species